GGCUAUAUGGAUGUGCUCUACUUGUUGGAGGAUUGUCCAUCCACUCUUCUUCCUGUACUUACCAGGACAGAACAGCCGCAACUUCUCAGACAGUUCAUUCUUCUUUUCCUCACCUACUACCAUCUAAGAAAGGGUGGGCAGCACCAGCUCAUUAGAACCAUUUGUGUGACUGACUGAAGACAGCUCACCUUGGAACACUGCAGGACCCUAAGAGGAUGGAGGUGGAGUUUUUCUGCUCCUACACCUGGAUAGGCAAGACCAACCACUUACCAGAUGGGGAAUCUUCCAGUGCUAAUAGUUCAGACUGUGCAUACAAGAAACUGAGAGAAGGACCAGUACUGUUUUGUGGUUGCAGGUUGUUCCAUGAUGAGAAUAGGGCCAACCAUAAUGGGAGUAGGCUGGCAGAGACUUACUUGUCUAGUCAUGGGCUUUAUGGCAAAUGUCUCUAACACUUACCACCCAAAGCUAUGCUUAUGGUGUUGCAGUCAACAUCUUACUUUAUGAACUUAUAAUCUAUACUGAUGUUUAUUGUUACUAUGUUUUCCUGUUUACCUGAGAGGGGCCACACCCAAAAGGAGUGUCCUAGAGGUGGAAACAUGUACUACAUGUUCUAUUAUAGCAUUUAUCAUAUUAUAAUAUGAAUAAUAUGCUGCCUCUCUGCACUUCAGCUUAACCCAUGACCUCUCUGAGAACAAGUAACAUGUCGCAUUGACCUUUACAUUACUCCCCAGCACCACUUCUUCACUCUGCCCUAUCCCAAGUCCUUCGACUUUGCCUUAUACAUGUGAUCCUCUCUGAAAUUUGUGUCUAAGAAAUGAUCAAUGAAUAAAUACAUGAUUGAAUCAAUACCUUACUUCCUCCAGAGAUGUUUACUUAUCUUUAAUCACAUCCAUUCUAUGUUUAUGAUUUUAAUUUGUAGGUUAUACUUGAAAACAGUAGCCUGAUAAUAAAUAUAAAUUUAUCAGUUUCUCUCUAUUGAAGUUUCAGAACCCCUUUUGCCUCUUCUCAUUUAUAAUUCCUUUAAAUUAGGUAGGAAAGCAAAAAGGAAAUCUUAGUGAGGCAAAUACUAGCUUCUGCUUCCUAUGUAAGGAGAUAAUGGUACUGACACUAUCAGCUGAGGAUAUUUUAUACUUCAAUGGUUUUGUGAAUGGGAACUAAUCCAUUACUUUCUUAACUUGCUAUCUAUUUACUUUCUUAACCUAUAGGUGCACAGGUGGAUGACUUGGCAGGAGAUGCCAUUUAUGGCCAUGGAACAGUCAAGUUGUUAAGGGGACCAAGAAUGUCAAUGAACUAAAAGUUUCUGGACCAGUUUAUUAGGCAAAAAUUAAAAAUAAAAAUAAUAUUUGAGAACCUAAAAUAAAUUUGAUCUCAACUUGCAUAAUAUCUCUAACUCACUGAGGUUCCACGAAGACAGGAAGCCCAAGAAAAAGAGGUUGAAGAAAAUUAACUCUGAAAAAC
rnacentral:lncRNA from 10 species